rnacentral:rRNA from 1 species
AACGAACGCUGGCGGCAGGCCUAACACAUGCAAGUCGAGCGCACCUUCGGGUGAGCGGCGGACGGGUUAGUAACGCGUGGGAACGUACCCUCUUCUACGGAAUAGCCUUUGGAAACGAAGAGUAAUACCGUAUACGCCCUUUGGGGGAAAGAUUUAUCGGAGAAGGAUCGGCCCGCGUUAGAUUAGAUAGUUGGUGGGGUAACGGCCUACCAAGUCUACGAUCUAUAGCUGGUUUUAGAGGAUGAUCAGCAACACUGGGACUGAGACACGGCCCAGACUCCUACGGGAGGCAGCAGUGGGGAAUCUUAGACAAUGGGCGCAAGCCUGAUCUAGCCAUGCCGCGUGAGUGAUGAAGGCCUUAGGGUCGUAAAGCUCUUUCGCCUGUGAUGAUAAUGACAGUAGCAGGUAAAGAAACCCCGGCUAACUCCGUGCCAGCAGCCGCGGUAAUACGGAGGGGGUUAGCGUUGUUCGGAAUUACUGGGCGUAAAGCGCACGUAGGCGGAUUGGAAAGUUGGGGGUGAAAUCCCGGGGCUCAACCCCGGAACUGCCUCCAAAACUAUCAGUCUAGAGUUCGAGAGAGGUGAGUGGAAUUCCAAGUGUAGAGGUGAAAUUCGUAGAUAUUUGGAGGAACACCAGUGGCGAAGGCGGCUCACUGGCUCGAUACUGACGCUGA